AUUGAACGCUGGCGGCAGGCCUAACACAUGCAAGUCGAGCGGAUGAAGGGAGCUUGCUCCUGGAUUCAGCGGCGGACGGGUGAGUAAUGCCUAGGAAUCUGCCUGGUAGUGGGGGAUAACGUCCGGAAACGGGCGCUAAUACCGCAUACGUCCUGAGGGAGAAAGUGGGGGAUCUUCGGACCUCACGCUAUCAGAUGAGCCUAGGUCGGAUUAGCUAGUUGGUGGGGUAAAGGCCUACCAAGGCGACGAUCCGUAACUGGUCUGAGAGGAUGAUCAGUCACACUGGAACUGAGACACGGUCCAGACUCCUACGGGGGGCAGCAGUGGGGAAUAUUGGACAAUGGGCGAAAGCCUGAUCCAGCCAUGCCGCGUGUGUGAAGAAGGUCCUCGGAUUGUAAAGCACUUUAAGUUGGGAGGAAGGGCAGUAAGUUAAUACCUUGCUGUUUUGACGUUACCAACAGAAUAAGCACCGGCUAACUUCGUG
rnacentral:rRNA from 1 species